rnacentral:lncRNA from 1 species
UCUCCUCCCCCACCUUACUAUUACAAAUCCCCACCGCCACCUUCACCAUCUCCCCCACCACCCUACUACUAUAAAUCACCCCCACCACCUUCACCAUCUCCUCCACCACCAUACUACUACAAAUCACCCCCACCGCCAUAUGAACACAAGACUAAACCAUACUAUUACAAGUCUCCUCCACCACCAUAUGAACACAAGACUAAACCAUACUAUUACAAGUCCCCACCACCACCUUCACCAUCUCCUCCACCACCAUACUAUUACAAGUCCCCACCACCACCUUCACCGUCUCCACCCCCACCAUACUACUACAAAUCACCUCCUCCUCCAUCACCUAUUCCCCAUACACCUUACUACUACAAGUCCCCACCACCACCUAAGGUUCUUCCACCACCAUACUAUUACAACUCUCCUCCUCCACCUGUUGUGUAUCAUCACCCUCAUCCCUACCACCAUGCAUUGAUCGUGAAGGUAGUGGGUAACGUCUACAGCUUCAGAUGUUAUGACUGGGAGUAUCCUGAAAAGUCUCAUAACAAGAAACACCUCAAAGGUACAUCACAUUACAUUUCUCAAUUCUUUCAUUUUUAUAGAUUUUAUGUACAUCACUAUUGGCUCGUAGUUUCUCAAUACCAUUACAACUAAACUGCAAGUUUCAGUAAUGAGAUUCAUAUAGACAUGUUUUUAUUAACAUCUUUGUUUCUUAGAAAUUAUACAAACACUUAAUUUAGGUUUCUCCAUGUCCAAUAAAGUAAACAAUUGAUAUAUCAAAUUAACAUAUAUGAUAUAUCAUUUACCUCAUUAAAAUUUAAUAAUCCUGCCUAAUAUAAAGAUUCGGUUUGAAAAUGAUAGUUUAGUGAGCUUCUUUAUAAUAACACUCUCCAAUAUAUUAUGUUUUAAAAACAAUUAUAUUUCUAUUUGUCUAAAUUCAAAUUUGUUAUGGGACAGGUGCUGUUGUUGAAGUGACAUGCAAAGCCGGGAGCAAAAUCAUCAAGGCUUACGGUAAAACUAAGAUCAAUGGAAAGUAUGCCAUCACAGUUAAGGACUUUGACUAUGUCAAAUAUGGUUCAACAGUGUGCAAGGCUGCCCUUUAUGCUCCACCUAAGGGUUCACCCUUCAACAUACCUACAAAGCUAAACCAAGGAACAAACUUGUACUUGAAAUCCAAAGACAAGUACGAGGUUGUGCUCAAGGCUAAGCCAUUUGCUUAUGCUUCAAAGAAACAUUUCAAAGAAUGUGAGAAGUCCAAGCCUUCACCAACUCCUUACUACUACAAAUCACCUCCACCUCCCUCACCAGUUUACAAGUAUAACUCACCACCUCCACCCGUCCAUUAUUACUCACCUCCAUAUUACUACAAGUCACCUCCUCCCCCCGUGAAAGCGGCACCAACUCCUUACUACUACAAAUCACCUCCACCUCCCGCACCAGUUUACAAGUACAACUCCCCACCUCCGCCAGUCCAUUACUAUUCACCUCCAUACACCUAUAAGUCACCUCCUCCUCCUGUGAAAGCAGCACCAACUCCUUACUACUACAAAUCACCUCCACCUCCCGCACCGGUUUACAAGUACAACUCACCACCUCCACCGGUCCAUUAUUAUUCUCCACCAUACUACUACAAGUCACCACCCCCACCAUCUCCAUCACCUCCUCCACCAUACUAUUUCAAAUACUAUUACAAGUCCCCACCUCCACCAUCACCAUCCCCUCCUCCACCUUAUUAUUACAAAUCUCCUCCUCCACCAAAACAAAUUUCACACCCUCCAUACUACUAUAAGUCACCACCCCCACCAUCACCAUCACCUCCUCCACCAUACUAUUAUAAGUCUCCACCUCCACCAUCACCAUCUCCCCCACCACCUUAUUAUUAUAAGUCACCACCCCCACCAUCCCCGUCCCCUCCUCCACCAUACUACUACAAGUCUCCACCUCCACCUAAAGAAAUAUCACAUCCUCCAUAUAACUAUAAGUCACCACCCCCACCAUCACCAUCCCCUCCCCCUCCAUACUAUUACAAAUCUCCUCCACCACCAUCACCAUCACCACCACCUCCCUACUAUUACAAAUCACCUCCACCACCAUCACCAUCACCUCCCCCUCCAUACUAUUACAAAUCUCCUCCACCACCAUCACCAUCACCACCACCUCCUUACUAUUACAAAUCACCUCCACCACCAUCCCCAUCACCACCACCUCCAUACUACUACAAAAGUCCCCCUCCACCAUCUCCAUCUCCUCCAUCCCCAUAUUACUACAAAUCUCCACCACCACCAUCACCAUCCCCACCCCCUCCCUACUAUUACAAAUCACCUCCACCUCCCUCACCAUCACCGCCACCUCCUUACUAUUACAAAUCUCCCCCACCUCCAUCUCCAUCUCCACCACCUCCUUAUCACUAUCAAAGUCCUCCUCCCCCAUCUCCCAUUUCUCAUCCUCCCAACUACUACAAAUCCCCUCCACCACCAUCGCCAUCUCCUCCACCUCCAUACCAUUACGUGAGUCCUCCCCCACCAGUAAAGUCACCUCCACCACCAGCUUACAUCUAUGCUUCUCCACCACCACCAAUCUACAA